UCCCUCUCUUCUCUUUCACAUCCAAGAGCUGGGCAUCUCUUUUUUUCACAUGCCAAGAGGUGCUGCUUUAUCUUCAAGAGUGAAGAUCAAGGAGAAGAAGAAGAAAGCUGCUGAUCAAGGAGUUGAUUCUGCAGUUCAAAUCAAUACGUUGAUCAAAGUAUUCAAGGCUAAGGUUCUUCUUGAGAAGAAAAAUCUUUCACAAGUAG
rnacentral:lncRNA from 1 species